GACGAACGCUGGCGGCGUGCUUAACACAUGCAAGUCGAACGGAAAGGCCCUGCUUGUGUGGGGUGCUCGCGUGGCGAACGGGUGAGUAACCCGUGAGUAACCUGCCCUUGACUUUGGGAUAACUUCAGGAAACUGGGGCUAAUACCGGAUAGGAGCUCCUGCUGCAUGGUGGGGGUUGGACAGUUUCGGCGGUUGGGGAUGGACUCGCGGGUUAUCAGCUUGUGGGUGGGGUAGUGGCUUACCAAGGCUUUGACGGGUAGCCGGCCUGGGAGGGUGGACGGCCACAUUGGGCCUGAGAUACGGCCCAGACGCCAACGGGGGGCAGCGGUGGAGAAUAUUGCACAAUGGGCGGACGCCUGAUGCGGCAGCGCCGCGUGCGGGAUGACGGCCUUCGGGUUGUAAACCGCUUUCGCCUGUGACGAAGCGGGAGUGACGGUAAUGGGUAAAGAAGCACCGGCUAACUACGUG
rnacentral:rRNA from 1 species